AGAGUUUGAUCCUGGCUCAGGAUGAACGCUAGCGGCAGGCUUAACACAUGCAAGUCGAGGGGCAGCGUGGGGCAGCAAUGCUCUGACGGCGACCGGCGGAAGGGUGCGUAACACGUGAGCGACUUGCCCGUCACAGGGGGAUAACCGGCGGAAACGGCGACUAAUACCCCAUAUGAUGUGAUGCUGCAUGGCAUCGCAUUGAAAGAUUCAUCGGUGGCGGAUAGGCUCGCGGGACAUUAGCUAGACGGCGGGGCAACGGCCCACCGUGGCGACGAUGUCUAGGGGUUCUGAGAGGAAGACCCCCCACACUGGGACUGAGACACGGCCCAGACUCCUACGGGAGGCAGCAGUGAGGAAUAUUGGUCAAUGGGCGGAAGCCUGAACCAGCCAUGCCGCGUGAAGGACUAAGGCCCUACGGGUCGUAAACUUCUUUAGACGCAGAGCAAUAAGGUCCACGUGUGGACCGAUGAGAGUAUGCGUAGAAUAAGCAUCGGCUAACUCCGUGCCAGCAGCCGCGGUAAUACGGGGGAUGCGAGCGUUAUCCGGAUUCAUUGGGUUUAAAGGGUGCGUAGGCGGCCGAGUAAGUCAGCGGUGAAAGACCGGGGCUCAACCCUGGAAGUGCCGUUGAUACUGUUUGGCUGGAAUGAUCCCGCCGCGGGAGGAAUGAGUGGUGUAGCGGUGAAAUGCAUAGAUAUCACUCAGAACACCGAUUGCGAAGGCAUCUCGCGAGGGGUCAAUUGACGCUGAGGCACGAAAGCGUGGGGAUCGAACAGGAUUAGAUACCCUGGUAGUCCACGCAGUAAACGAUGAUGGCUAACUGUCGGGCCUGCGGGUUCGGCGGCCAAGCGAAAGCGAUAAGCCAUCCACCUGGGGAGUACGACCGCAAGGUUGAAACUCAAAGGAAUUGACGGGGGCCCGCACAAGCGGAGGAACAUGUGGUUUAAUUCGAUGAUACGCGAGGAACCUUACCCGGGCUUGAAUUGCAGAGGAAGGAUUUGGAGACAAUGACGCCCUUCGGGGCCUCUGUGAAGGUGCUGCAUGGUUGUCGUCAGCUCGUGCCGUGAGGUGUCGGCUUAAGUGCCAUAACGAGCGCAACCCUUGCCGAUAGUUACUAACAGGUCAUGCUGAGGACUCUGUCGGGACUGCCAUCGUAAGAUGUGAGGAAGGUGGGGAUGACGUCAAAUCAGCACGGCCCUUACGUCCG
rnacentral:rRNA from 1 species